AGGGUAUAGCUCAGUGGUAGAAUGCCUGCUUGGUGUGCAUGAGGUCCUGGGUUCAAUCCCCAGUGACUCUG
rnacentral:tRNA from 1 species